rnacentral:rRNA from 1 species
AGCAUAUCAAUAAGCGGAGGAAAAGAAACCAACAGGGAUUGCCCUAGUAACGGCGAGUGAAGCGGCAACAGCUCAAAUUUGAAAUCUGGCUCUUUUAGAGUCCGAGUUGUAAUUUGCAGAGGGCGCUUUGGCUUUGGCAGCGGUCCAAGUUCCUUGGAACAGGACGUCACAGAGGGUGAGAAUCCCGUACGUGGUCGCUGGCUAUUGCCGUGUAAAGCCCCUUCGACGAGUCGAGUUGUUUGGGAAUGCAGCUCUAAAUGGGAGGUACAUUUCUUCUAAAGCUAAAUAUUGGCCAGAGACCGAUAGCGCACAAGUAGAGUGAUCGAAAGAUGAAAAGCACUUUGGAAAGAGAGUCAAACAGCACGUGAAAUUGUUGAAAGGGAAGCGCUUGCAGCCAGACUUGCUUGCAGUUGCUCAUCCGGGCUUUUGCCCGGUGCACUCUUCUGCAGGCAGGCCAGCAUCAGUUUGGGCGGUAGGAUAAAGGUCUCUGUCACGUACCUCUCUUCGGGGAGGCCUUAUAGGGGAGACGACAUACUACCAGCCUGGACUGAGGUCCGCGCAUCUGCUAGGAUGCUGGCGUAAUGGCUGUAAGCGGCCCGUCUUGAAACACGGACCAAGGAGUCUAACAUCUAUGCGAGUGUUUGGGUGUCAAGCCCGAGCGCGUAAUGAAAGUGAACGGAGGUAGGAACCCGCAAGGGUGCACUAUCGACCGAUCCUGAUGUCUUCGGAAGGAUUUGAGUAAGAGCAUGGCUGUUGGGACCCGAAAGAUGGUGAACUAUGCUUGAAUAGGGUGAAGCCAGAGGAAACUCUGGUGGAGGCUCGCAGCGGUUCUGACGUGCAAAUCGAUCGUCAAAUUUGGGCAUAGGGGCGAAAGACUAAUCGAACAUCAGUGGCAC